rnacentral:rRNA from 1 species
GCAGUGGGGAAUAUUGGACAAUGGGGGCAACCCUGAUCCAGCCAUGCCGCGUGUGUGAAGAAGGCCUUCGGGUUGUAAAGCACUUUCAGCUGUGAGGAAAGGCGAGUGGUUAAUACCCGCUUGCUGUGACGUUAACAGCAGAAGAAGGACCGGCUAACUCCGUGCCAGCAGCCGCGGUAAUACGGAGGGUCCGAGCGUUAAUCGGAAUUACUGGGCGUAAAGCGCGCGUAGGUGGUUCAGUCAGUCAGAUGUGAAAGCCCCGGGCUCAACCUGGGAACUGCACCUGAUACUGCUGAGCUAGAGUACGGUAGAGGGUAGUGGAAUUUCCGGUGUAGCGGUGAAAUGCGUAGAGAUCGGAAGGAACACCAGUGGCGAAGGCGACUACCUGGACCGAUACUGACACUGAGGUGCGAAAGCGUGGGUAGCAAACAGGAUUAGAUACCCUGGUAGUCCACGCCUUAAACGAGUC